CCAAGCCAGAGCCAAAAGGGAAAGCGCGCGAUCGUGUCUCAGCUGUCGAAGUUCGUUCUUUAUUGCCGUGCAGUGUGCGCAGAGAUGAAUUAUAAGGGUAUAAUACCAUAUGAUAACGCCUUGGAGAUUGGCCAGAACCAGUGUGCACUUUGUUGCAGGUAUCCUGUAGCUGCAGACGUGAAGCAACGAACGGCGAGGGAGGCAAACCGAAUUCAUAAUAGUUGAAAAUCCGGAAGAGCUCCGUUGCAUGUGAAGUUACGGUACCUGCAAGUGCAAAUCUCGGCUUGGAAUAAUCUUAUUCUGGCGGGUGCAAUGCCUUGUUGGGCGUGGAGAGCUGAAAUACCCCUGCACCGAGCUAUCCCUGCCCAUUUGGCCUGGAGCCGUCAGUGGCUGUACGCAUCAAACCCAGGGCAAGCAUGCAUCGUGAUCAGAAUGGCUCAAGAUGGUGAGUGUUCUUAGUUGAAGUGAAAGUACUGCAAUCCUUAAACACCAACUUGGGUAUUUUGCUCCCAGGCAAUAAAUGAUGCCCCGUCUGUGAAACCAGUCCAUUGUACAUCUCUUUUGCUGCAUAAAGUUUGUUACUGUUGUCAA